UAACAUCAUUAUCAAGUAGGAGAGAGAAAAGUCGACAAGGAUCAGUCGAACGAGUAUCUCCGACACGGUAACAACUUCAGCGCACUAUUGGUCACCAGCUGCAUUCUUCAUCGUAUCAUCAGUUCGCAAUCAUGGUAAACUAUGGCGUUGUUCUGCUGUUGGGUGUUGAAUCGCUGACGGUUGGGUCGACCACUGGUGUACCGAUGUCUCCUGGUCCUGUGUAUGGUGGAUAUAAAAGCACAACAUUGCUGUCUUAAUACUCAUCAUCAACCAAUGCUGCUCCAGCUUACACCACCAAGGCUUCAGACAAGUUGCAUUAAAGGAGAGAAAAGCCUUUUCCGACACGACAACAACUUCCGCGCACAAUUUGUCACCAACUGCCUUCUUCAUCGUAUAAAGCGUAAACUGUGGCGUCGUGCUGCUGUUGGUUGUUGUCCUGAAAUACUACACCACCGAGGCUUCAAAGUAUUACACUACAAUUUAUGCUGCUGCGAGAUGCAUCACUAAAGAGCCCGAGUACUACAUCCUGAUUCCAUUCGUAUUAAGCCACAACCAUUUGUUCACUCUGGCGCCGUGCUGCUGUUUGGUGUCUUAUCGUUGAAGGUUGGGUCGACCACGGGUUUACUGAUGUCUUCUGGUCAUCGUGGAGACUAAGCAACAGCAGCGAAAGAAUACUACACCACGCCGCCGCCUUCGAAACAUCUACUUACAACACCGAGGCCCCCAAGUGCUACACCACCAAGGCUCAAGAGUUACGCUACAAAUUACGCUGCCCCGAGUUACAUCACCAAAGCGCCUGAGUACUACAUCCCCGAGGCACUACAACUGAGGCGGUGAAGUACUACGUAGCCUAGGCUUACAACACAGCAGCUGCUCCUUCAUACUACGUUGAACUGAAAUACUACACCAAGGCUGCAGUUAACUACACCACAACCUACGCUACACCUAGCUACUAUGACGAAGCCCCCAACUACUACACCGAAGAGGCCACAUGUUACACAUCAACGUACAGUGCCCCAGUUUACUACACCGAGGAACCCAAGUAUUACUCUGCUCCAAGCUACUACCAAACUGAGGCUCCUGUUUACCAAGGCCACCGAGUAUUAUACUACAACCAAACGUUAACUAUGGCGUCGUGCUGCUGUUGGUUGUAUUAUCCUUGAUGGCUGGGUUGACCACUGGUGUACCGAUGUCUCCUGGGUAUGGCGGAUACCAAACCGCAACGCCGGCGUCUUACUAUACAACAACAUACGCAGCAACCGGAUACUACACCCCCAAGGCCCUAGAGUAUUACACCAUAACUUAUGAUGUCCCGAACUUCUACACCAAAGCUUCGAUGUUUAACUCAGCCCCGUGUUAAACCACCAAGGGAGCGGAGUACUACACCACCAAGGGAGCGGAGUACUACACCACCAAGGGAGCGGAGUACUACACCACCAAGGGAGCGGAGUACUACACCACCAAGGAAGCGGAGUACUACACCACCAAGGAAGCGGAGUACUACACCACCAAGGAAGCGGAGUACUACACCACCAAGGAAGCGGAGUACUACACCACCAAGGGAGCGGAGUACUACACCACCAAGGGAGCGGAGUACUACACCACCAAGACAGCUGCAUAUUCGUACUACGUUAAACCGGAAUGCUAAACCGAGGCUCCAGUUUUCUAUACUACAGCCCGCGCUUCUCCCAGGUACUAUACCACCAAGGCAACUGAGUAUUACACCACUUCUUAUGCUGCUACCACCUACUACACCGAAGCUCCGAAGUUUUACUCUGUGCUGAGUUACCACACCAUUAAGGAAGCCGAACAUUACACCACAAACGCUUCCGCAACUUACUACAUGAAAUUUCUAAAUGCUAGACCCGAAAUUUCUAUUUGAUUUUAUUUAGAUAUGUCGGUUUUCUUCAUGGUCGUUGGUCAUUGGGAAUUAAUUGUUGAUCUUGAUUGAGAAAAUAAAAUUUCUAAUGCCGGUAA
rnacentral:lncRNA from 1 species